GCUGGGCUUGUGUUUGUCUCUUCUUAUUAAAAAGGUUAGAAGGGGAAUGAGAGGUAUAAUGUAACACAUUAUUUGUCUUGUAAGGAAAAAAAUCCAGCAUGGUUUCUAGAGUCUUCCCUGCAUUUUCUACUUUAUCUCUAUUUGCUGAAGUCAUUGUUGGUCCCAGGAUUUUUACAAGUAGUGAAAUUGAAAGCACACAAAUAAGAAAGAAACUAGACAGAAAAAGAAUGACUCCUGUUGUACUAGGUGGAGGUGAAUUUAAAAAGAUGAUGGCUGGAUACAUUGCUGCUCCCUGAGGAAGAAAGCCCAUUACUGCAUUUGACUUUAGGGUACUGAGGAUGUAGUGCUGGGCAUUUUACUGUCUCCUCACAUGUGCUCCAACUUGAAUGCUGGGGAUAAUUAUUCUUGAUCAUCAGCUGACAGGAAUUACAUUAGAGAACCUAAAGCCAGCUUUCCUCCAAGACAGUGCCCAUACCAUAAACCUAUGAGGUGUCACAGCUGGCGUGCAGGUGUGUCUGCACAACAAGGCAGAGGAGUGACUUUGACACAGGCAGCCGGCCUGGGUAGCAAAAAUGAAAAUGUAGCAUGAGAGGCGUCAGCAUGGGCUAACAACCAAGAAAAAAUUUCUACUCAGUGUCCUUCUGGUAAUGAACACUGGGAAAGUGUCUCAAGCAACACACACCUGCGGCAGGAGAAGUAGCUGAUGUUUCCUCCUGUUACUUCACUUUGACAUGUCUUUGGUUCACCUAGAUAAUGUGAUUUUUUUCCACAUACUUCUCCUUCAAGAAUUCACUGCUUGUCACACCUAAUGAUUUAUUCACUCGUCAACCUUUUUUUAGGUUGACAAAUAUCCUGCAAAGAUAAGGCACUGGCCUUUGAAAAUAUGGUGCCAGUAAUUAAAAUGAAGAAUGCGUUACAGUAUAAAGUAGAAAUAUGAGUCUAAAAGCCAUACUGGUAUUUUUAGUGAUGGGAGUAAUUGAGGAUUUCAGUUUAAUAAUUCAGUGCAGCUGAGAUUAAUAAAUGGUAUGAGGUAGACAUGGUCUUUCAGGAAGAAGGAUUUCAGGGGUACAGUUAACAGUUUAAUUUAGUAUAUCCUUAAAGAUGCUGCUGGAAUUGCUGUAUAAUAACUCGGCAGAGUCCUACAGUUUCUGAGCCUGUUUUGUAAAAGGAGGAAUAUGCAUCCUGAGUGAGGAUUAUGCAAAGUGAAGGGGACCCAUCUGAGAAGAAGCCAAAAAGCCUGGAAAUCCCAGCCCUGGUGCUCGUUCCUGCCAUAGUCUACAGCGAGUCCCUUCCCAUUGCUAUCGGUUUCUGCACAGGCGGCAGCGGAGGGGAGGCAGAGCAGGCUGCGGGGAGGACCAAAGUCCUGCCUGACCGUGAGCUCCCACAAUGAAGAGCCUGUUUAUGACACAGGCCCUCCAGGGUGGGCUGGAAGGAAAUCCUCUCCUUGUUUCUUAAGGCUAAGUGGAGCCUUCUCAGUUUAAAAUAAGCCUUCAGCCUGAUCCUAGCAAGAAGUAGGCCAUACCAGUAGCUGAUGAAGAAAACCAGAGGAACAUGCUUUCCCAGCCUAUACUCAUUACAGGUGCCUGCUUUUGCACUUCUCUGAUGUUUCCUGUAGGGAUAGUCCCCAGUGAUUCCCUACAACGGCACUCAUGAAGACAAUCUGUUAAAUAUGAAUCACAGAUGCCACAAAGAAUUCCCUGAUAUCGCUACCAAAAGGGAGGUGGGGGCGAUUCUUGAAGCAGCCUGGAAAUUUCACACACUGCCCAUUACAUUAAUGGAAAGUAUUGAUAUGCUAAUUGUCCAGGAGGUGAUCGGAAGACCUGGGGACAACGUAAUCAUCUUGCUGUUCUACAUGCUGUCUAUGAUUACUUAUUUUGAAAUCAUUAGCUGAAAAUAUUGACGUAAUAUAGAGUAGCUCGAAUCUGCAGGGACCAGUCCUAGCAUUAACCAUCGGCGUGCCUCAGGCGGCUGUGAGGAGCGAGCUCCUGGGAGCACAGAGGCAGGUCAUGGUGGCUGAGCAGAUGCCUGAAUCCAAGCCUGGCACUUCUGGAGCUGAAGGAAAGGUGCAUUAGUUUGCCCAAGUGCUUCCUGUCGCUGCAGGCUCUGGAGCCCACGGCACGCAGGGGUCGGGGAAGCCUCGUCUCCCUCGCUCUUUGAGCUCCAUUUCCAAUUUGCUUUUUUGAGAAAGCUGCCAAUGCAAUUGCACAUGUCUGAGAACUGUUCCUUACUUUUGAUUUGAUCCUUAUGUUUUCAACUGGCACAGUGAUGAGGACCACAUCAAUGCAUACAGCUAAUAACCCUUUACAUGUUGUUAUGAGAGAAACAUACGAGUGAUACGAGGGAAUCUGAAUGCCUAUUAUGACUCCUCCUUUGAAAACUGAUCUCCGACUCUGUUUUCUAAAGAGAAUAAUGUUGCAACAGUCAGGAUUGCUUCAAGCUUGAUGCAGAGCUAAAGAUCAAAACGUUGCAAAGCCAUAAUGGAGAUGAAUUCUGAUGGAUAGAUGGAUAUAGGCUGAUAUGCUAAUAUACCUGUUUAACUUGAUAGAUGUUAAUGAUGAUGACAAAUUUAUAAAUGUAUUUGGAUCUACAUUUAUCAUUUUGCUGCAAUAUAUUAAAAAUUGGAUUAUUAUUAUUAUUUUGAAUCCAUCAAAAAGCUGUUGCUAAGCACAGCUCCAAACUCCCCGGCUUGCCAAGUGGCAGUUUAGUCAUAUACCAAAUAUUGCAAUAUAUUAUUACAAAUUUUUAUCCUUAAUUAACACAGUCCUGACUUUUCAUCAUCAUCAUCAAUCCUGUCACUGGGCAUGACACAUAUAAAUGACUAGAAUUAAUUUUUUUCAGAGCACUAUUUCCAGAUUGAAGCCAGCAAAUUUAGAUUGCAUCUAGAGACAUUAUUGCAUUUUGCACUUUUGCCUGAAACCAGUAUGAACUCCCCAAAAAAUCAACUU